rnacentral:rRNA from 1 species
AUGAUAAUUGAAGAUGAGCUCCCAUUUGCAUUUGGUGAAAAAUCUGGGUUUAAAAAGUUCAUGUCUAAAGCUUGCCCACGUUUCUCAGUUCCAUCUAGGAGAACAUGCACUAGGGAUGUUGUUCGCGCAUAUUUUGAACAAAAGGCUAAACUGAAAAUUUUCUUUAAAGAACAAUGUGAAAGAGUGUGUCUCACAACUGAUGGUUGGACUUCUCAACAAAAAGAUAGCUACAUGACUGUUACUGCCCACUUCAUUUGUAAGGAAUGGAAACUCCACAAGAAAGUCAUUAGCUUUUUCAAGGUUAAGGGUCAUAAAGGAGAUGAUAUUGGGAAACACUUGCAGAAAACUUUGAUCGAUUGGGGGAUAGAGAAGGUCAUGACCAUUACUAUUGAUAAUGCUAGUAACAAUGAUGGUGGUAUUGGUUACAUGAAAAAGGAACUGAAUAAAGCUAAGACUUGCAUAGCUGGAGGCAAGUUUCUCCACAUGAGGUGUGCUGCCCACAUUGUCAACUUAAUAGUUACAAAUGGUCUAAAAGAAGUUGAUACUUCAAUCAAGCGUGUGCGUGCAGCUGUUAGAUAUGUCAGAAAUAGCCCAAGUAGGUUGACUAAGUUCAAAGAAUGUGCAGACCUUGAGAAGGUUAACACCAAGGCCUUCUUGAUUCUUGAUGUGAGCACUAGGUGGAACUCGACGUACUAUAUGUUGAAGGCUGCUGUUAGCUAUGAGAAAGUUUUUGCAAGGUAUGCAGAUGAAGAUCCUUACUUUGCAAUUGAUCUACUUACUGAUAAAGGUAAGGAGAAGGGUGUUGGAGUUCCAGAUGAGCAGGACUGGGAGAAUGUCAAGAAGAUGGCAGAAUUUCUUGCUCAUUUUGCGGAUCUAACAACUCGUGUUUCUGCCUCAUUGUAUGUGACUGCUAAUAGCUUUUUCCAUGAGAUUGGUGAGGUGAAUAUGUUAGUGAAAAGUUGGAUGGAAAGUGGGAAUGGUUUGCAAAUUGCAAUGGCAGAGAGGAUGAUGGAUAAGUCUGAUAAAUAUUGGGGAAAUUGGCAUGAGCUCGAUACCAGCAAAAAGGGGAAGGAAAAGGAGAACUUCAACUUGCUGAUUUUCAUUGCAACGACACUUAAUCCAAGGUACAAGCUUACAGAAUACACACAAUUUGCCAUUUUAGAAGUGUAUGGAGAGGAGAAAGGGCCUAAGGUGUGGGCUGCAGUCAGUACGUGUCUUCGAGAUUUGUUCGAGGAAUAUAGGAUGAUGUAUGCUCCAAAUGUUGCAUCACCUCUAAGUAGUGCUUCUCAGGAAGUUGAAUCAACUGGAGGGUGUGCAAGCAUGAUGAGAUCCGUGAUUGCCAAAAAAAUGAGGCUGAACAGUGGUGGUAGCAGCAGCAGCAAGUCUGGGCUGGACAAGUUUCUUGCUGAGGAGUCUGAAGAUGAUGGCCCAAAAUUUGACAUAUUAGAUUGGUGGAAGGUUAACUCAUCUAGGUUUCCUAUAUUGGCAUGCUUGGCACGGGAUGUUUUGGCAGUCCCCAUCUCGACUGUUGCAUCCGAGUCUGCGUUCUCUACUGGUGGGCGUAUUCUCGAUGAAUUCAGAUCUUCUCUGACUCCAUUCAUGGUUGAAGCCCUUGUGUGCACUCAGGAUUGGCUUCGAUAUGGUACUCAUGUCAGCAUAGUAGAGAACACUGAAGAAUUGACCAAGCUUGAACAAGAGUUAAUUGCCGAAUAUAAGGAGAAAGUGAAGCUCCAAAGCAAUGCCAAGCCUCCCACCACCGCAAAGCCUACUUAA